UACGAAGGGGGCUAGCGUUGCUCGGAAUCACUGGGCGUAAAGCGCACGUAGGCGGAUUGCUAAGUCAGGGGUGAAAUCCUGGAGCUCAACUCCAGAACUGCCUUUGAUACUGGCGAUCUUGAGUCCGGGAGAGGUGAGUGGAACUGCGAGUGUAGAGGUGAAAUUCGUAGAUAUUGGGAAGAACACCGGUGGCGAAGGCGGCUAUCUGGACCGACAUUGACGCUGAGGCGCGAAAGCGUGGGGAGCAAACAGG
rnacentral:rRNA from 1 species